UGAGGAAUAUUGGUCAAUGGACGCAAGUCUGAACCAGCCAAGUAGCGUGCAGGAUGACGGCCCUAUGGGUUGUAAACUGCUUUUAUAUGGGGAUAAAGUGGGGAACGUGUUCCCUUUUGCAGGUACCAUAUGAAUAAGGAACGGCUAAUUCCGUGCCAGCAGCCGCGGUAAUACGGAAGGUUCGGGCGUUAUCCGGAUUUAUUGGGUUUAAAGGGAGCGUAGGCCGUUUGGUAAGCGUGUUGUGAAAUGUAGGAGCUCAACUUCUAGAUUGCAGCGCGAACUGUCAGACUUGAGUGCGCACAACGUAGGCGGAAUUCAUGGUGUAGCGGUGAAAUGCUUAGAUAUCAUGAAGAACUCCGAUUGCGAAGGCAGCUUACGGGAGCGCAACUGACGCUGAAGCUCGAAGGUGCGGGUAUCGAACAGG
rnacentral:rRNA from 1 species